GACGAACGCUGGCGGCGUGCUUAACACAUGCAAGUCGAGCGGUAAGGCCCUUUCGGGGGUACACGAGCGGCGAACGGGUGAGUAACACGUGGGUGACCUGCCCCUUAGCGUCUGGGGAUAAGCCUGGGGAAAACUGGGUCUAAUACCGGAUAUGACUCCAUGACGCAUGUUGUGGGGUGGAAAGCCUUGUGCGGCUAGGGAUGGGCCCGCGGCCUAUCAGCUUGUUGGUGGGGUGAUGGCCUACCAAGGCGACGACGGGUAGCCGGCCUGAGAGGGCGACCGGCCACACUGGGACUGAGACACGGCCCAGACUCCUACGGGAGGCAGCAGUGGGGAAUCUUGCGCAAUGGGGCGAAAGCCUGACGCAGCGACGCCGCGUGAGGGAUGA
rnacentral:rRNA from 1 species